rfam:Octopus bimaculoides Scaffold934_contig_121, whole genome shotgun sequence.
GCGUGGCUUAGUGGUUAGGGCGUUCGACUCACGAUCGUAAGGUCGUGAGUUCGAUUCCCAGCAACGCG